AUGCGAUUCCCAGACACGGAAGUGACAGAUUGUCCCCUUGGAGUCGGUGCCCUUUCUCAGGUGGCUCCGUGGGUACAUGAAAACGCGCAGAACGCGGAGCAAAAAUUAACCUUCGGUUUGGAAACGUUUGGGAGUCGGAAAACCAAAGAUGGCAGAAAACGUCGUUUCCCAGGGCAGGGCCUGCAGGGGUGGUGGGAGGCGCGUGCGGCAAGAGAGGACAAGGACAACUCACGCCCCGGGGACCCAGGACAUCCGGGGGCCCAGUGCUGUCCUGUUCCUCGGUCCCACCCAGGGGGACCAGCGGGUCCCCGUGUGCGCGGGACUUUCCUGGAUUUAGCCCCAAAAGCCCCACAUCCCAGGAACGGCUCAGCAGGGAAUAACUGGGCUGGCCGGUCACCCGGCUCCAAAUCCCCAUCCCAGGGCUCGCUCUCUCUGUCUCUGAGUCUCUGUCCCUCUCUGUCCCUUUCUCACUGUCCGUCUGUCUCUCUCCCCUCAUCCUCCUCCCCUUCAGGCCGACGCCAGUUCCGUUUCCAUCCAGCACCAGAGCUCUCCGCGUGCCCGUCUCUCUCCGGGUCUUUGUCUCCAUGUCGUCUUCUGUCGUGUCACCCACUGGGUCCCUCCCCGGAGCCUGGCCUGUCGCUCACCCCGUCCCUCAGCCUCGGCCUCCGGCGUCUGUGUCACCCCAUCGUGGCCACAUCGGAGCCCGUUCCUCCCUCAGCCGGCUCUCCUUCCACUGUGUCUGCUUUCUCUCUGGGUCCCUGUCCCUCUCUCUCUGGGUCUCUGUCCCCCUCUCUCUGGGUCCCUGUCCCCCUCUCUCUGGGUCCCCAUGCCCCUCUCUCUGGGUCCCCGACCCCUCUCUCUGGGUCCCUGUCCCCCUCUCUCACCUCCGUCUCUGUGCCUCCCACUUCUGCUCAUCUCUCCACACCUCCCAGUGUUUCACAUUCUCCAGAGAUUGAGGACAUGGGAGACCCCCCUCCCGCCAUCCUCACCCCUGCCCUCUCCCCCAUCCCCAAGAAUGUCCCUCCAGGUUCUCACCAGAUGGCGGGGCCUCCACCCCCAGUGCCUGACCGCACCCUCCCCUCCUCAGACCCACACCCAUACAGCAGAGGGUUGAGGCAGCCGCCGGCCCCGCCAGGUGGAGCCCCAGGGGUCUGA
rnacentral:lncRNA from 1 species